UACGGGGGGAGCAAGCGUUGUUCGGAUUUACUGGGCGUAAAGGGUGCGCAGGCGGCCAAGUGUGUGAGGCGUGAAAGCCCGGGGCUUAACCCCGGAAUUGCACCUCAAACUACUUGGCUAGAGCAUUGGAGAGGGUAGCAGAAUUCAUGGUGUAGCAGUGAAAUGCGUAGAUAUCAUGAGGAAUACCAGAGGCGAAGGCGGCUACCUGGACAAUUGCUGACGCUCAGGCACGAAAGCGUGGGGAGCAAAAGGG
rnacentral:rRNA from 1 species